AGUGAACGCUGGCGGCGUGCCUAAUACAUGCAAGUCGAACGGAGUGGCGCACGGGUGAGUAAUAUAUAGCUAAUCUGCCCCUUGCUGGAGGACAACAGUCAGAAAUGACUGCUAAUACCCCAUAGCAAGGGAUGAGACUAUAUCGUAUCAGCUAGUCGGUGGGGUAACGGCCUACCGAGGCUAUGACGCGUAACUGGGCUGAGAGGAUGCGCUGUAACAUUGGACCUGAGACACCGUCCAAACUCCUACCGUAGGGAGCGGUAGGGAAUUGUGCGCAAUGGGGGAAACCCUGACGCGGCAACGGCGCGUGGAGGAUUACACUUGUCGGAGCGUAAACUCCUUUUGUUAGGGAAGCGUUACCUAACGAAUAAGCACCGGCUAACUCCGUGCCAGCAGCCGCGGUAAUUC
rnacentral:rRNA from 1 species